CCCUUUCCCGUUCUUCUGACUUCGGCCUCGGCCUCGGCCUCGGCCUCAGCCCUCAGGCCUCAGGCCUCGGCGCGCUCGCUCCGAUUCCGGAGUUGAGAGAGCAGCGCGGGAGAGGAAGGUAGAUAUGGAGUGGCUUGAGAAAUCUCUGCGGGAGGACUUUGAUCUGCCGCCUAAGAACCCCUCCGAAGAGGCGCAGCGGCGAUGGCGCUCCGCCGUCAGCGGCCUCGUCAAGAACCGCCGCCGACGCUUCCGCUUCAUGUCCGACUUGGACGGCCGUAGCGAGAACGAAUCCCAGCGGCGCUACGUCCAGGAAAGUAUCCGAGAGGCCCUCGUACAGAAGGCUGAUGUGGAUUUCAUCAAUGGUGCCAAAAAUAAAGAGUACCUGCUAACAGAGGAUAUUAUCAGAGCUGGAUUUUCCAUCAACCCAGAUGAACUGGCAUUUAUCUCAAGCAACUGUGACUUCAAGGCUUUGAAGAUGCAUGGUGGGGUAGAUGGGAUAUCGCAUAAAAUCCGUUCAGCGUUCGACCGUGGCAUAUCUGCUAGUGACAUAGAUACAAGACAAAACAUCUAUGGUGUCAACUGUUAUGCGGAUGAACCUGCAAGAAGUUUCUUGAUGUUUGUCUCAGAUGCAUUGCAGGACAAGACUCUUAUAAUUCUUAUGGCAUGUGCUUUGAUAUCUGUUGUAGUUGGUCUGGCAUCUCAAGGUUGGCCGAAGGGCAUGUAUGAUGGCUUGGGAAUAAUAUUGGCCAUUUUCUUGGUUGUGAUGGUUACUGCUGUCAGCGACUAUAGGCAGUCACUACAGUUGAAGAACCUAGACAGUGAAAAGAAGAAGAUAUUUAUCCAUGUAACUAGAGAUGGCUGCCGACAAAAGGUCUCUAAAUAUGACUUGGUAGUAGGUGAUAUCGUGCAUCUAUCAGUUGGAGACCAAGUACCUGCUGAUUGACUGUACAUUCAUGGAUACUCCCUUUUGAUUGAUGAAUCAAGCUUGUCAGGUGAGAAUGACCCGGUUUAUAUUUCUCAAGAUAAGCCAUUCCUCUGGGCAGGAACCCAAGUUCACGAUGGAUUAGCUAAGAUGAUGGUAACUGCUGUUGGUGUGCGCACUAUAGGCGGAAGGUUUAUGAGCACGUUGAAUGAAGGAGGAUGGGAUGAGACACCAUUGCAGGUUAAGCUAAAUGGAGUGGCAAAUAUCAUCGGGAAGAUUGGCCUGGUGUUUGCCGCAUUUACAUUCGUUGUCCUGAUGGUUAGAUUCCUUACUGAAAAAGGUUUAACAGUUGGUUUGUCCAGAUGGUAUUCUACUGAUGUGCUGACUAUAGUAAACCACUUUGCAACAGCAACCACUAUUAUUCUUGUUGGUGUUCCAGAAGGGUUGCCUCUAGCUGUUAGCAUGAGUCUUGCAUUUGCAAUGAAAAAGCUAAUGAAUGAUAAAGCACUUGUAAGACGUCUUUCAGCAUGUGAAACAAUGGGAUCUGCUGGUACCAUAUGCGCAGAUAAAACAGGAACUUUGACAACGAACCACAUGGUGGUUGAUAAGAUAUGGAUAUCUGACGUCUCAUUAUCACUUAACAAUAACAGUAGUUUGGAAGAUCUAAAUUCUGUCAUUUCUCCAACCACAUUGGGCCUACUUUUGCAGGGCAUUUUCGAGAACACCAGUGCAGAGGUUGUCAGAGAAAAGGAUGGUACACAAACUGUUUUAGGAACUCCAACAGAAAGGGCGAUACUAGAAUUUGGCUUGAAACUAGGAGGAGGCCAUGAUAAUGCUCAGGAUAGGACCUGCAUCAAGUUGAAGGUUGAGCCUUUCAAUUCGGCAAAGAAGAAGAUGACAGUGUUGGUCUCGUUGUCCAAUGGCAUGUACCGUUGGUUCUCAAAAGGUGCUCCAGAAAUUAUUCUGCAGAUGUGUAAUAUGAUGGUUGAUGGUGACGGAAAUAGCGUUCACUUAUCAAAAGCACAGAAAACGCACAUCUUGGAUACUACCAACUCUUUUGCUUCAGAUGCUUUGAGGACAUUGUGCCUCGCAUAUAAAGAGGUGGAUGAUUGCGAUGAUUAUUCUGAUAGUCCGACAGGUGGUUUUACUCUAGUAUCCAUUUUUGGCAUCAAGGAUCCUCUGCGCCCAGGAGUCAAGGAUGCUGUGAAGGCUUGCAUGUCUGCUGGUAUCAUCGUGAGAAUGGUGACUGGCGAUAAUAUUAAUACAGCCAAAGCUAUAGCAAAGGAGUGUGGAAUAUUGACUGAUGAUGGCAUAGCAAUAGAAGGACCAGAUUUCCGUAGCAAGAGCCUGGAAGAGAUGAUGGACUUGGUACCAAAGAUUCAGGUCAUGGCUCGUUGUUCACCAUUGGAUAGGCAUACCCUUGUGACAAACUUUCGAGAUAUGUUUAAUGAGGUAGUUGCUGUGACAGGAGAUGGUACAAAUGAUGCCCCAGCAUUAAAUGAAGCUGAUAUCGGGCUUGCAAUGGGUAUAGCAGGCACAGAGGAGGCCAAGAACAGCGCGGAUGUGAUUGUACUUGAUGACAAUUUUGCAACUAUAUUAAAUGUCACACGGUGGGGUCGUGCCGUUUACACAAACAUCCAAAAGAUUGUGCAGUUUCAGUUGACUGUCAGUACUGUUGCUUUAGUAAUCAACUUUGUUUCAGCAUGCACUACAGGGAGUUCUCCUCUCACAGCAGUGCAGUUAUUGUGGGUCAAUAUGAUUAUGGAUACAUUGGGAGCUUUAGCUCUAGCAACAGAGCCACCAAAUGAUGACAUGAUGAAGCGGCCGCCUGUUCGACGAGGAGAUAGUUUCAUUACUAAGGUCAUUUGGAGAAAUAUCAUGGGGCAGAGUUUAUAUCAGCUGGUUGUACUUGGAGCUCUCAUGUUUGGUGGGGAACAACUCCUGAACAUCAAGGGUGCAGAUUCCAAAUACGUUAUUAAUACACUCAUAUUCAACUCCUUUGUGUUCUGCCAGAUAUUCAAUGAAGUAAACAGCAGAGAAAUGCAGAAGAUUAAUGUCUUUCGUGGUAUCUUCAGCAAUUGGAUCUUUAUCGGAAUCAUAGCUGUGACAGUCGCAUUUCAAGUGGUGAUCAUAGAACUUCUGGGCACCUUUGCUAACACUGUUCCACUUAAUUGGCUACUUUGGUUAGUAAGCGUUGGCCUUGGAUCCGUCAGCUUGAUUGUUGGUGCCAUCUUGAAGUGCAUACCAGUUAAAUCAAAUGAAAGUCCCGCAUGUCCAAAUGGCUACACCGCACUUUCCAGUGGUCCUGAUAACAUAUAGCAGGAAAAGAAUGAUUGAACAGGUACUGUAUUUGCUAUCUUAGCAGAUUCAUCAGUACCAUGAAUGCAGCACGGCUAUCUUCUGUUUUCAGUCCUGUUUGGGAUAAUUUCAUUGACCGUCUAGCUAGUGUCAUGUUUUGCCAGCGAACGAAGUGUAUAGCUCAGUUUGUUAGAUUCUUUGUGAUAGAACCUUCUCGUAAGGUUAGAGUCCUUGACUUAGCUCGGGUCAUUCAGUGGUAGCUAGUGGUAGCUAACAUGAACAUCGACAAAGAAGCAUUUUCUGUCACUUCGUAUUCAAGACAUGCCAACCCCAUCUCUUUAUAGAUGUCCAUCUGUGUAGCGGUCUGUUUGUGUGUGUAUGUGUCUGGUGUUAUGUUUUGAUGCAGAACUGCUCUAUGCAUAAUUAAGCUUACCUUAUAUAGCGAACAAAGAUCGUCAAA